GUACCCUUAGCUCAGUUGGUUAGAGCAGACGGCUCAUAAACGUCCGGUCGUAGGUUCGAGUCCUACAGGGUACA
rnacentral:tRNA from 2 species